GGGAAUCUACCUUUUGCUACGGAAUAACUCAGGGAAACUUGUGCUAAUACCGUAUGUGCCCUUCGGGGGAAAGAUUUAUCGGCAAAGGAUGAGCCCGCGUUGGAUUAGCUAGUUGGUGGGGUAAAGGCCCACCAAGGCGACGAUCCAUAGCUGGUCUGAGAGGAUGAUCAGCCACACUGGGACUGAGACACGGCCCAGACUCCUACGGGAGGCAGCAGUGGGGAAUAUUGGACAAUGGGCGCAAGCCUGAUCCAGCCAUGCCGCGUGAGUGAUGAAGGCCCUAGGGUUGUAAAGCUCUUUCACCGGUGAAGAUAAUGACGGUAACUGGAGAAGAAGCCCCGGCUAACUUCGUGCCAGCAGCCGCGGUAAUACGAAGGGGGCUAGCGUUGUUCGGAUUUACUGGGCGUAAAGCGCACGUAGGCGGACUUUUAAGUCAGGGGUGAAAUCCCAGAGCUCAACUCAGGAACUGCCUUUGAUACUGGAAGUCUUGAGUAUGGUAGAGGUGAGUGGAAUUCCGAGU
rnacentral:rRNA from 1 species